rnacentral:rRNA from 1 species
UAGUAAAACCAAAUAUGUGAUUUUAAUUCGUUUGAGGUCCCAGAAUUUAAAGUAAUGUUGCAAAAGGUGUUGUUGUUUAAUUUGUAAAAAUUAGGAAAUACUAAGUUUUACCUUUUGUAUAAGGUUCUGUGGAAAGCUUUAAGGCUAUGCCGUUUUGAAUGGAAUAGGGCUUUGCUUUACCUAAUUUUUUUAUCUGUUUUAUUUUUUUGAAAAAUUAGGUAGGAGAGAAAUUUUUUCGUUUGCUUUUUUCCUUUUCUUUGUGUUAGAGGGGUUGGUUUUCUACUCUGUUUUCUUUUGCUUGUUGACUUUACUUUUAAUUUUUAGAAGUGAAAUGUUUUGUGUAAUAACUAUUACGUGUCAUUUGUGGUGUAAGAUUUUGAUGUCUAUAUAGGAAAGUUAUGACGUUUAUCAUUUAAAGAAUUAGUAGGGUUAAUUUAAUAUUUCUGUAACUUUGUUAGAAGUUUUGAGCUUUUAAAAUUUAAUGUUCCACUUUACCAUAGGAAGAACUAUUUUUCAAAAUUUUAACGUUUGUUUUAAACGUGUUCUCUGCUCGAUGAUUUGUUUGACUUAAAUGGCCAUGGUUUAGACUGUGCUAAGGUAGCGUAGUAGCUUGUUUCUUGAUUGGAAACUGGAAUGAGUGGGAGUUUUUUCUUGUGGAAAUUUUUGUUUUUUUGAUUUUAUAAUUUGAUUGAAAAUAAUCUCAUUGGAUUGUAGACAAAGAGACCCCGGGAUUUUCAUAAGGAUUUGUUUCGAUCCUUAUUUGGUUGGGGCAAUGUUUUGACAUUUUAUGUUAUGAUUUUUUUGUUUCUGUGAACUUUUUUUUUUGAUAGCUGUUUAAAAUACCCCGGGGAUAACAGAAUAAUCUUUUUUUUGAGUUUUUAUCUUAAGAGAGGAUUGUGACCUCGAUGUUGGAUUGAAAUUUCCUUUAUUUUAGAUAGUUUUUUUUGGGUGCAGGAGCUUUGGUAGGAAAGACUGUUCGUCUUUUAAAAUUUCACAUGAUCUGAGUUCAAGUCGGCGUAAGCCAGACUGGAUUUUAUCUGAUUCGUAAGUUUCGUUAUAAGUGAGUAGUACGAAAGGACCUUUGCUUUUAAAAGUUUUGCUGUAAAAAA